AAAUUCAGAUUUUCAGCAAUUAUUAAGCGGGAAUUUAUUUCCCCCGGUCGAAAAUAAUUUCGUGAUAUAACUAAGUGUUUACACUUUACAUUUUUUGCGAAAAGCAAAAGUCUUUACACUUUCCCAAACAAAAACCCUAGAAUCUCUCUAGAUAUUCUUCCUCUCUGGCUCUUCUCUCCGGUGCUUCUCUUCCUCUUGUUUGCUUACCAUGUUGUCAAAUGGGAAAUCGAAAAGAGGUGGUCGUGGUGGCAGAUCCGGCGGUGGUGUUCGAAUUAACAGUGGCGGUCGAUCAAACGGAGUUGGUGGGUCGUCUUCUCACUCUUCCAACCCGUCUUCUUACGAGACUGGUUCGGUUUCUCGGCCGGUGUUACCUAGUCAAUAUCCAUCAUCGUCUUAGCAACGACCUCUCCGUCAGCCACAACCAGCAGCUCAAGCUUCACAACCGAUGUACCUGAAUCCCCAUCAUCAACCGCCGCCUCCUCCAAAUCCGGAGCAUCUACCGCCACCUUCUCCAAAUCCGGAGCAUCAACCACCGCCUCAGGAGCCGAAUCAUGAGCAACAAGACUUUCAGCAGUUGUUGGAUGCUGUAAUGGCUCUUCUUGGAAGACAACGUCUACCAAUCUUGAGUCAACAAGAUAUCCCUGAUCGUGAGACUAUCUGUGUACUUUCACAGAUAAUAAGGGAAACCCCUUUGGACUUGGACAGCUGAAAGAGACGAUCAAAAAAGGGAAGAGAAAAGAGAGUUAUGGAAGCUCCUCUUCUUCGUCUUCACUGUUAGAGAUGCAAGAAGAUCUUGUAGCUGCUCGUCGUAAGCUUGCUGAAGUGGACCAAGAAAAUGCUAGACGUGACGAGGAGCGACGCAAAGAUCAAAGUCGCUUCACAAGCUUGGAGAUGAUGGUCUCCUAUAUGAGGAACAAAGAUCCUGCCUUUGCAGAAUUUUUGGCUACUCAACAGCAAGAAGCAACUGCAGCAGCAACCGUAGCUUCUCAACCACCAACCACCGCAGCAGCCACCGCAGCAGCCACCGCAGCAGCCAUCCCACCUGCCAACGCACCAUACUCUUCACCAGCUGCCACUUCACCCAUGUCUAACACUUCUUCAUCCUCUCCCUUGGCUUAGACCUUUUCUAACACUUAUUCAUCCUCUGUUUUAGACCUUUUAAUCUACUUUGGCUUUUGUUAUGGAUGAUGAUUUUAGGGUUGGUUUUUGUAGUACUGAAUUAUUUUAUGGGUUUCUAAUAUAAAUCAUAUUAGGAUUUCUUUUAAA